GACGAACCGUCCUAACGUUGUUCGGAAUCACUGGGCUUAAAGGGCGCGUAGGCGGGUCUCCAAGUCGGUGGUGAAAUCUUUCAGCUCAACUGGAAAAGUGCCGCCGAUACUGGGGAUCUCGAGGGAGGUAGGGGUCGAUGGAACUAAUGGUGGAGCGGUGAAAUGCGUAGAUAUCAUUAGGAACGCCGGUGGCGAAAGCGAUCGACUGGACCUCUUCUGACGCUGAGGCGCGAAAGCCAGGGGAGCAAACGGG
rnacentral:rRNA from 1 species